AUCCAUGGAGUGUAGCGUAGGUUCGGUUUUGGUGUGUGUUUUAGGCCCUCCUUUGCAUUUUUUCUUGCACACUCAAAACCUCGGGUUUAUUACACUUUCACAAGUCUAUCCUCGUGGCCGUACUUGUAUCAAGGCUGCCGUGUCUGUGAUAUUGGUGGCGGAGGCUGCCAUGGCUGGGGUUGGACGUAUGAUGAGGGGUGAAUCACAUGGUUAGUUGUCCUUCCUGUCUGCCAAUGCAUUCGCUUCUGCUUCAUUCUCACUGAUUGCUGAGAGUUUUCCAUGGUGA
rnacentral:lncRNA from 1 species